rnacentral:rRNA from 1 species
CAACUUUCAGCAACGGAUCUCUUGGCUCUCGCAUCGAUGAAGGACGCAGCGAAAUGCGAUAAGUAAUGUGAAUUGCAGAAUUCAGUGAAUCAUCGAAUCUUUGAACGCACCUUGCGCUCCUUGGUAUUCCGAGGAGCAUGCCUGUUUGAGUGUCAUUA